rnacentral:lncRNA from 1 species
GGGCCUCAUGUACUGUUUUUUGUUGUGGGCUUCUCCAUCUUGGACUACAGUAGGUUGAAUUCGAGAUGCAAAAAUCCAACAAGAAAUCACCCCCAAAAUCUCCAAGACCUACGCCAAGGUCGUGACCUACCCGAACUAGAAGCUCCAAAUCAAGCUAGCCCGGGAUGGUAGAGUCAUCGGCCUAUUCACCAUCGAUGUUGGGUUCCUCGACAAUGAGAAGUCUGCGUUGUACAUCGAGGUCUACCGAAGCC